rnacentral:rRNA from 1 species
GAGCGUUCUGUAAGCCGUUGAAGGUGAAUCGUAAGGUUUGCUGGAGGUAUCAGAAGUGCGAAUGCUGACAUGAGUAACGACAAAGGGGGUGAAAAACCUCCUCGCCGGAAGACCAAGGGUUCCUGUCCAACGUUAAUCGGGGCAGGGUGAGUCGACCCCUAAGGUGAGGCCGAAAGGCGUAAUCGAUGGGAAACGGGUUAAUAUUCCCGUACUUCUGACUAUUGCGAUGGGGGGACGGAGAAGGCUAGGUGGGCCAGGCGACGGUUGUCCUGGUUCAAGUGCGUAGGCUUGAGAGUUAGGUAAAUCCGGCUCUCUCUAAGGCUGAGACACGACGUCGAGCUACUACGGUAGUGAAGUCAUUGAUGCCAUGCUUCCAGGAAAAGCCUCUAAGCUUCAGAUAGUCAGGAAUCGUACCCCAAACCGACACAGGUGGUCGGGUAGAGAAUACCAAGGCGCUUGAGAGAACUCGGGUGAAGGAACUAGGCAAAAUGGUACCGUAACUUCGGGAGAAGGUACGCUCUUGAUGGUGAAGUCCCUCGCGGAUGGAGCUGACGAGAGUCGCAGAUACCAGGUGGCUGCAACUGUUUAUUAAAAACACAGCACUGUGCAAAAUCGCAAGAUGACGUAUACGGUGUGACGCCUGCCCGGUGCCGGAAGGUUAAUUGAUGGGGUUAGCGCAAGCGAAGCUCUUGAUCGAAGCCCCGGUAAACGGCGGCCGUAACUAUAACGGUCCUAAGGUAGCGAAAUUCCUUGUCGGGUAAGUUCCGACCUGCACGAAUGGCGUAAUGAUGGCCACGCUGUCUCCACCCGAGACUCAGUGAAAUUGAAAUCGCUGUGAAGAUGCAGUGUACCCGCGGCUAGACGGAAAGACCCCGUGAACCUUUACUACAGCUUGGCACUGAACAUUGAACCUACAUGUGUAGGAUAGGUGGGAGGCUAUGAAGACGUGACGCCAGUUGCGUUGGAGCCGUCCUUGAAAUACCACCCUUGUAUGU